GUGGAUGUAGCUCAGUGGUAGAGCCCGGAUUGUGGCUCCGGUGGUCGUGGGUUCGAUCCCCAUCAUCCACCCCA
rnacentral:tRNA from 1 species